AGCAGUUGCUGCAGCGGGCGCGGCUGGCCGAGCAGGCGGAGCGCUACGACGACAUGGCCUCCGCCAUGAAGGCGCUUCUCCGGUGGAAGAGUCGUGCCCAGCCACACCCUAGCAAAAUACUGUGGGUCACACACAACCUGCAUUUCUGAGUUCCGGUUACCAUCUCACUCACUCUCCACGUUAUUUUACGUUUUCUGUGACAGAGCUGAAUGAACCUCUCUCCAAUGAAGAUCGAAAUCUCCUCUCUGUGGCCUACAAGAAUGUGGUUGGUGCCAGGCGAUCUUCCUGGAGGGUCAUCAGCAGCAUUGAGCAGAAAACCAUGGCUGAUGGAAACGAAAAGAAAUUGGAGAAAGUUAAAGCUUACCGGGAGAAGAUUGAGAAGGAGCUGGAGACAGUUUGCAAUGAUGUCCUGUCUCUGCUUGACAAGUUCCUGAUCAAGAACUGCAAUGAUUUCCAGUAUGAGAGCAAGGUGUUUUACCUGAAAAUGAAAGGUGAUUACUACCGCUACUUAGCAGAGGUCGCUUCUGGGGAGAAGAAAAACAGUGUGGUCGAAGCUUCUGAAGCUGCCUACAAGGAAGCCUUUGAAAUCAGCAAAGAGCAGAUGCAACCCACGCAUCCCAUCCGGCUGGGCCUGGCCCUCAACUUCUCCGUAUUCUACUAUG
rnacentral:sRNA from 1 species